AUUGAACGCUGGCGGCAUGCCUUACACAUGCAAGUCGAACGGUAACGCGGGGCAACCUGGCGACGAGUGGCGAACGGGUGAGUAAUGCAUCGGAACGUGCCCAGUAGUGGGGGAUAGCCCGGCGAAAGCCGGAUUAAUACCGCAUACGACCUACGGGUGAAAGCGGGGGACUCGCAAGAGCCUCGCGCUAUUGGGAGCGGCCGAUGUCAGAUUAGGUAGUUGGGUGGGGGUAAAAAGCCUACCAAGCCGACGAUCUGUAGCUGGUCUGAGAGGACGACCAGCCACACUGGGACUGAGACACGGCCCAGACUCCUACGGGAGGCAGCAGUGGGGAAUUUUGGACAAUGGGCGCAAGCCUGAUCCAGCCAUGCCGCGUGCGGGAAGAAGGCCUGGUGUAACG
rnacentral:rRNA from 1 species